rnacentral:rRNA from 1 species
GACGAACCGUGCGAACGUUGUUCGGGAAUCACUGGGCUUAAAGGGCGCGUAGGCGGGCUGGUAAGUCCGGGGUGAAAUCCUGCAGCUCAACUGCAGAAGUGCCUUGGAUACUGCCAGUCUCGAGGGAGGUAGGGCAUGUGGAACUUCCGGUGGAGCGGUGAAAUGCGUAGAUAUCGGAAGGAACGCCGGUGGCGAAAGCGACGUGCUGGACCUCUACUGACGCUGAGGCGCGAAAGCCCAGGGGAGCGAACGGG